CUGGUUGAUCCUGCCAGUAGUCAUACGCUCGUCUCAAAAGAUUAAGCCAUGCAUGUCUAAGUAUAAACAAUUGUACUGUGAAACUGCGAAUGGCUCAUUAUAUCAGUUAUAGUUUUAUUUGAUAGUACCUACUACUUGGAUAACCGUAGUAAUUCUAGAGCUAAUACAUGCGUUAACUCCUAACUCGUUCUGGCGGAAAGGAUGUAUUUAUUUAGAUAUAAACCAAUGCAAGCAGCAAUGCUUGGUGUUGCGGUGAGUCAUAAUAACUUUACGAAUCGUAUGGCCCAGAGCCGACGAUGAAUCAUUCAAGUUUCUGCCCUAUCAGCUGUCGAUGGUAGGGUAUUAGGCCUACCAUGGCGUUAACGGGUAACGGAGAAAUUAGGGUUCGAUUCCCGGAGAGGGAAGCCUGA
rnacentral:rRNA from 1 species